rnacentral:rRNA from 1 species
CAGUCGAACGAAAAGACGGAAAGAGCUUGCUCUUUCCGGAAUUGAGUGGCCCACGGGUGAGUAACACGUAAACAACCUGCCUUCAGGAUGGGGACAACAGACGGAAACGACUGCUAAUACCGAAUAAGUUCCAAGAGCCGCAUGGCCCAUGGAAGAAAAGGUGGCCUCUACCUGUAAGCUAUCGCCUGAAGAGGGGUUUGCGUCUGAUUAGCUGGUUGGAGGGGUAACGGCCCACCAAGGCGACGAUCAGUAGCCGGUCUGAGAGGAUGAACGGCCACACUGGAACUGAGACACGGUCCAGACUCCUACGGGAGGCAGCAGUGGGGAAUCUUCCGCAAUGGGCGAAAGCCUGACGGAGCAACGCCGCGUGAGUGAUGACGGCCUUCGGGUUGUAAAACUCUGUGAUCCGGGACGAAAAGGCAGAGUGCGAAGAACAAACUGCAUUGACGGUACCGGAAAAGCAAGCCACGGCUAACUACGUGCCAGCAGCCGCGGUAAUACGUAGGUGGCAAGCGUUGUCCGGAAUUAUUGGGCGUAAAGCGCGCGCAGGCGGCUUCCCAAGUCCCUCUUAAAAGUGCGGGGCUUAACCCCGUGAUGGGAAGGAAACUGGGAAGCUGGAGUAUCGGAGAGGAAAGUGGAAUUCCUAGUGUAGCGGUGAAAUGCGUAGAGAUUAGGAAGAACACCGGUGGCGAAGGCGACUUUCUGGA